AGAGUUUGAUCCUGGCUCAGGAUGAACGCUAGCUACAGGCUUAACACAUGCAAGUCGAGGGGCAGCAUGGACCCAGCUUUGCUGGGUUUGAUGGCGACCGGCGCACGGGUGAGUAACGCGUAUCCAACCUGCCCUUUACUCCGGGAUAGUCUCCUGAAAGGGAGUUUAAUACCGGAUGUGUUUGUCUUUCCGCAUGGGAGCGACAAAUAAAGAUUAAUUGGUAAAGGAUGGGGAUGCGUCCCAUUAGCUUGUUGGCGGGGUAACGGCCCACCAAGGCGACGAUGGGUAGGGGUUCUGAGAGGAAGGUCCCCCACAUUGGAACUGAGACACGGUCCAAACUCCUACGGGAGGCAGCAGUGAGGAAUAUUGGUCAAUGGGCGGGAGCCUGAACCAGCCAAGUAGCGUGAAGGACGACGGCCCUACGGGUUGUAAACUUCUUUUAUAAGGGAAUAAAGUUCGCCACGUGUGGUGUUUUGUAUGUACCUUAUGAAUAAGCAUCGGCUAAUUCCGUGCCAGCAGCCGCGGUAAUACGGAAGAUGCGAGCGUUAUCCGGAUUUAUUGGGUUUAAAGGGAGCGUAGGCGGGCUUUUAAGUCAGCGGUCAAAUGUCGUGGCUCAACCAUGUCAAGCCGUUGAAACUGUAAGCCUUGAGUCUGCACAGGGCACAUGGAAUUCGUGGUGUAGCGGUGAAAUGCUUAGAUAUCACGAAGAACUCCGAUCGCGAAGGCAUUGUGCCGGGGCAUAACUGACGCUGAGGCUCGAAAGUGCGGGUAUCAAACAGGAUUAGAUACCCUGGUAGUCCGCACGGUAAACGAUGAAUGCUCGCUAUGGGCGAUAUAUUGUCCGUGGCCAAGCGAAAGCGUUAAGCAUUCCACCUGGGGAGUACGCCGGCAACGGUGAAAC
rnacentral:rRNA from 1 species